GGGGGUCCAGUGGCAGAGCCCUUUCCUUAUCUGGGUGGCAAUAUUAAUGAAGCCACUGCUUGUCUGCCUCCAAGGACGGUUAUUAGGAUUAAUAUAAUGACUGGUCUGAACCUACACUAGUGAAAUGAAGAAAUUACCCAUUUCAUUUCCCAUAGGGUAUUUAGGCAAAACACAUAAACUAAAUACUCCCAAAGGGCCAGAAAGAUUAUUGGGCCUUCUACAACGUAGCAGGUACUCUUGGCUCACCCGACUAACUGAAAUUUUGCAAAGCCCUUCGGGAUUUUACUGCAGAAAAUAAUUUACCUAUGUAUGAAAGACUGAAUGAUACUCUUUUCGGCUGAGUGGGCCUAGCUUUGGGGAAUUAUAGGUGAAGGAAUGAUUAAUGUGGCACACGUACUUGGGAUAAUUGUGGAUUGUCCUUUCUCAUCUGCUUUUUUAAAGGGUAAAAAAAAAAAUCCUUUCUGUCACCAGUUUGCAUCUCUGCAGGCUUAAACAAACAGACCUGAUUUUUAAAAAUGAAUCACAGGACAGAAUUUGGAAAAACUAAGUGCCACCAUAGUCUUGUCAAGAGAUGACACACUUAACCUAUUAGUUUUUCCAUGCUGUGGAUACAGUUAAUUAUAACUGAUGGUUCACAUUGGUGUACCUCGGGUGUUUAAUGAAGUUGUGCUGGAGUACGUUUCACUGCUGUUUUGUUAUGUCCUCUCUCGUACUGUAAAAAUAGUUUGUGAGGGUGCUCAGUGGAAACAAUAGUUGAAUAUGGAGAGAAAGUCUAAUUGGUUAAAUAAUUUGAUUGCUUUUCAUAAACCAAUGUAAUAUAGCAAUCUACCAAAAUCAGAAGUAAGGCCUUUGACUUAAGCGUGCUUUUUUAUUACUAUGAUUUACUCAUCUACCUAAAAAAGAAAAAUAGUGGUAACAUGUGGCAACAGUAUGUUCAUCUGAUGUGUAUACAAAUAUUAAAGUUCCAUGCCUCCCUCCUGUCUAAAUAUAGCAUUUGUAAUGUCAUUGCUUACAUAAGGUAUAAAUUCAGAAUAUCAGGGAUAUUACAAAAAAUUAAGAACAAAUAUGAUGCUUUAAUACAUUGUUCUAGGAAAUACUCGGAUCUGUGCAUUCAUGACUUGGAAUGUUGAAUAUUUAUUAUAUGCCUUCCCAGCCAAUUUUCUCUCUUUAUCCAGUAUGAGCCAUUGUUCUCCAUGUCUUAUUAAUACAUUUAUAUCCAGGGCACUGCUUAUUUCAUCUCACAAACUAUGACAUCAGAGGAAAAAUGACUGGGUUUCUUAAUCUGUACAAUGGAUGCAGGGAGGAUUUAUAGGACAUGGAAGUCCCUUAGCAAGCUCAUGGGUUCUUGUGAGAUUAAAAGAGAAACCAUUAUAAUCAAUGCUAAAUAUGAUCUCUUUUUUAUAAGGAAAUCUGAGAUCUUUAAAUGCAUACUAUUGGGGCAUCUGGGUGGAUCAGUCAGGUAAGCAUUUGACUCUUGGCUUUGGCUCAGGUCGGGAUCUUAGGGUCAUGGGACCUGGCUCCAUGCUGAGCACAGAUCUGCUUCAGAUUCUCUCUCCCACUCCUUCUGCAACCCUCCCAACCCCACCCCACUUGCACUCUCUGUCUUUCAGAUAAUAAAUAAAAUCUUUAAAAUAAAUGCGCACUAUCUCUGGCUUUCCUUGGUUAUGCUAAAUUUGUAAUUCUAGAACUUACGUGAAGUUUUAGAACAGGGUCUAGUACAUAGCAAGUGCUUAAUGAGUGAUAGCUAUUAUUACUGCAAUUAUUGUUCUGAAAUUGUGGUUCUCUGUUUAUUGCAGCAAGCACUAAUGGGGCUAAAUGAGAUUGGGAAAGUAUUGUUAAAACAGAACACAAUGUAUCAUCUUUCCUGUUUGCAGGAAAUACGGAAAAUAUUUGCCACUGAUUGGGAAAGAUGCCUUUUUAAAAAUAUAUAGUACGUGCAUAACUUAAUGGGAGAGCAGAAAGGAGAUGUCUCAAUAAUAUGUUAAGAGAAUAGUGUGGGUACAAAGUUGUCAUGGUGCACAAUACAGUGUUAUAUGUAUUAACUUUCUUAUAUCGAUCCAGGAAAUGAUUUUCUAGGAAAAAAAUUAUAAGUAUUUGUAAUCAUUGACUAAAGAAGCACCCAAAGGUUUCAAGCUGUGUAUGACCUUCUGUUAACACUCUGGAUGAGAUAUGUCAUCAUUAUUUUUGUCUUUGAGGGUGCUCCAAACCCAUAAAAUUUCCAUUUAAUGAUGAAAUAUUGCAAUGAGUUAGUCUAUAGAAUAACAAGAUUUUCCAUUAAGUAAGGUAACACAAAGACUUAUUUAGUAUAAGACAAAAGAAAGCCCAAUAGAAAAUAAUACAUAUCCGUGGCUAAAAGCUGAGAGAAUCUUCCAGUAGCAGAAGGCAUUGUCUAUCUAAAUUGAAGCAGAGAAAUGGUUACCAUAGUGACUUAUCUCUUAAAAUAGUUGUAUGAUUUUUUUCUUUUCAUAAACAAUGUUACGUAUUAUCUCCCUUUAAGUAAAGAAAGCUGAUACGUUUAAAUGCACACAUUCCCUGGUUUUCCUUAAUUAUGUUAAGAUUUUUAAUUCAGGUGCCCACAUAAGAGGAUGUCAGCUAGGAGCAUGGAGAAGGUCCUUUUUUUAUUUUUAUUUUUUUAUUUAUGAUAGUCACAGAGAGAGAGAGAGAGAGAGAGAGAGAGAGAGAGAGGCAGAGACACAGGCAGAGGGAGAAGCAGGCUCCAUGCACCGGGAGCCCGACGUGGGAUUCGAUCCCGGGUCUCCAGGAUCGCGCCCUGGGCCAAAGGCAGGCGCCAAACCGCUGCGCCACCCAGGGAUCCCUAGGAGCAUGGAGAAGGUCCUUGACGGCACUGGGGGUUAUUCUGUAUGUUAGUAAAUUGAACACCAAUAAAAAAAUAAAUUAAAAACAAAAUAAAUUAAAAAAAAAAAA
rnacentral:lncRNA from 1 species